ensembl:lncRNA
GGCGGUUAGAGGCAGUGUCCUGUCUGUUGUUAGUGAUGAGGUGGAGUUUAGAGGCAGUGUUCUGUCUGUUGUUAGUGAUGAGGUAGAGGUUAGAGGCAAUGUUCUGUCUGUUGUUAGUGAUGAGGUGGAGGUUAGAGAUAGUGUCUUGUCUGUUGUUAGUGAUGAGGUGGAGUUUAGAGGCAGUAUCCUGUCUGUUGUUAGUGAUGAGGUGGAGGUUAGAUGCAGUGUCCUGUCUGUUGUUAGUGAUGAGGUGGAGGUUAGAGGCAGUGUCCUGUCUGUUGUUAGUGAUGAG